CAGAAUGAACAUGUUAUAUCAAAUCAGUCACUGUGCUGAGAAGCUCUCUGUCCUGCAUGUUUCAUGUCUUUCUCUUCCAACACACCUGAUUCAAGGGAUCAGCUUGUCAUGCAGCCCUGCAGAAGUGUGAUAAUGACUCGUUCAUUUGAAUCAGGUGUGUCAGUGCUAGGAAACAUCUAAAACAUGCAGAGCAGGGGGUCCCCAGAACCAGGACUAAGAUACGCAAGAUUAGAGACACAACUUCAAGGAAAUUUAAUAAUAAAUUUAAUUUAAUAAGUUUUGAGUAAUUAUGGCUCCGGCUCUUCUGCUGAUGGACUCUUAUGUCAUUGUCAUAACCAUGUAUGUUGGGGUCUCCCUCCAGCCUGGUGAGGUCGUUGGCCGUGCCCAUGAACAUGCUGCGCCCUCGCUCCAGUCGGCUCUUCUUGUCUGUGAGGCGAAAGGCCUCCAUGAACUCGUCAAUAUCGAUGCUGCCAUCCUGGUUGCUGUCGAUGGUGACGGCCAGGUCUGAGAUGGCCUCAUCUGUGAUCUCCAUCUUUAGGUACACACUCAGCAGUUUCCAGGUCUGCCGGAAGUCUUCCAUGGUGAUGAAGCCUGGGGAGGUUAAAAGUUAAACAUGCAGGGUAGAAGGGAAAAGUUUAGAGACACAGUAAAAGAACAGGAUGGAAAAAGUGAUACUGGUAAGUGCAUUUGGUCAGAGGUGGCGGGUGGAGAGACCAUUAGGUCAAGGGGUUAAUCCUCGCAUUAAGUGAGAGCGCUCAGGAGGCAGUUACAAACCGUGGCCUCUUUUGCACGCUACAGGUGGAUUAACAGAACCCAGUAGAUGUUUCUAUCUGGACACAACUAAAGAGCUCUGACACACUUUACACAUCCACUGCUCCAUCCACCUUGGUUGGAUUGUCUCUCUAAGUUAGUAAGGCUACAUUCAACUCAAGAUAUUUAAUAGGAGGGGAUACUUGAACAGAGUAAAAAAAAUGUCACUGGUCAAAUAUGAAGUAGUGGAGGUCGAGAUAUCCUGAUGUUUAGUCCCUUGUGUCGGCCAAGCUCUAAAAACACUGGAUCCUUACUUUCCAUAAUGUGAUACUGAUACUGUAUUGUCUUUUUUUAACUAUUUU